UCCGGCUUAUCACCGGCGGUUUCUUUAGAGUGCCCAACUAAAUGAUGGCAACUAAAGACGAGGGUUGCGCUCGUUGCGGGACUUAACCCAACAUCUCACGACACGAGCUGACGACAGCCAUGCAGCACCUGUCACUCGUCCAGCCGAACUGAAGGGAUCCAUCUCUGGAUCCCGCGACGAGGAUGUCAAACGCUGGUAAGGUUCUGCGCGUUGCGUCGAAUUAAACCACAUGCUCCGCUGCUUGUGCGGGCCCCCGUCAAUUUCUUUGAGUUUUAGCCUUGCGACCGUACUCCCCAGGCGGAUGACUUCACGCGUUAGCUGCGUUACUAAGGGAUUUAACUCCCCCAACAACUAGUCAUCAUCGUUUAGGGCGUGGACUAC
rnacentral:misc_RNA from 1 species